rnacentral:tRNA from 1 species
GCGAGAAUAGCUCAGUGGUAGAGCUCCACCUUGCCAAGGUGGAUGUCGCGGGUUCGAGUCCCGUUUCUCGCUC